CACUGGAGGAAAUAGGUUCUUGACUAUCCAGAGUCCCUGAAGGGCAUUUGUGAAGAGCAUCACCAGAAAGACAGUGCAAGAGGGGAGUGUGUUUAACAUCAGAGUUCUCUCCUUACCACAAGCCAGCGUUACCUCCUGUCAGCCUCCUACACUUUCCCAGACUUUCUGUCUGCAGCUGGCAAGACCCUCCAUCCACUCCCCUCAGAACAUGCUAUCCACACACAGGAACCAUUUGACUCAGGCACGGUGAAGAUGACCUUCUCAAUCCUUACUCUAAACCCAAGAAACUCAAACUAGCCAAAACAAAGGACAAGAUUUUUUUUUUCUUAAACCAUAUAUCCUUCCUACUUAUGAUGGGUUUCUACCUGCCUCAAUUCUAUGAAUCAUCUCCUCCUAAAACACACACAUCCCAACAGUAAGCCCCUCCCAGAGUGAGCCCCAGGGCUCCAGUCCUGGGGAGCAAGAGCACACACAUCCUGAGGCUUUGAACAUGAGAUGGGAAGUCGGACUGGAGGGAUCCUCAGCUGGGGCUGGGAGGAAAAUCGAACCUUUGAAAACUGCAAAGCACGAGAUGCCAGAAGAGACCCCUCACUGUCGCAGCUGCUUGCCAUAGAAACCUCUCCUCCUUUGGGGAUGACAUCAGCAGACCGGCUUUUUUGUCACCAGUCACUCCGCACUUGCUUUAAUUAUGCAGCACAACAGAAAUUUUCUUUCUGAUCACAUAAAUCACAUCGCCCUGACACGGGGCUCAAUAGGCACGGCGGGAACAAUGUGGUGAGAGCUAUCGACUCCAUCGCUCAAGUCCACAAGGUGUAUCAUUUAGCCGAGAGUGAUAAUUAGACGCAGAAUAUACUGAAAACUGUCAAUAGGCAUGUCAAUAGGAGAACUCUUAGCAUCUAACACCCAGUGAAUCAAUGGUGUUUUUCAGCUAUAAAAUCAAGAAAAUGAUAGCUUUCAAAUGAAUGGUGGAAAGGAAACAGGAGACUCCUUGGGGAGGAAUAAAACAGCUCAAUUUUCCCUUACUGAGUGCCUCUCCAACUACCUCACUCAAUGGAAAAGGUCACAGAACAUCACAGCAAAAUAUCUCUGAAACAAGAUGUACAACAGCGCUGGGACAUGACAUGAUGCCUGGGCACCCCACGAAGCCCUCACGGUCUCUGACCUGGUGGGAGUGGCGAAUAGGACAGCAGAUGGCACCAGAAGCAGAGGACGGGGCUGUGAGAGCAGGGAGGAAGGUGGUGAUGGGGCACUGGGGAAAAACGAGUGCCCCGAUCAAACAAAAAUGGGACCCGAUGCAAAGAGUGGGGGUGUGGCAAAGGGGGUGUUUGAACCGGUCACAGAGGAAGUGA
rnacentral:lncRNA from 1 species